UAAAGCUUAACUACCCCCUACUCACAAUACCUAGAAUAUUCACUAACCCUUAACUUCUAUUGAACAAUUUUAUACCCUAUAAAAGCUAUUAUGCUAGAACUAGUAAUAAGAAACUGCCUUUCUCCUAAAUGUAGACAUAAGCCAAAAUAGACAAUCUAUCGGCUAUUAACGUAAAUGCCAAACUAUAGUAACACCCACUAGAAAAUCCUAUAGCCCUUAACGUUAACCUUACACCAGAACAUUACAGGAAAGAUUAAAAGAAAAAGAAGGAACUCGGCAAAUUUUAGCCCCGCCUGUUUACCAAAAACAUCGCCUCUUGACAAAACAUAAGAGGUCCAGCCUGCCCAGUGACAAAGUUCAACGGCCGCGGUACCCUAACCGUGCGAAGGUAGCAUAAUCACUUGUUCUUUAAAUGGGGACUCGUAUCAACGGCACUACGAGGGCUAUACUGUCUCCUUUUUCUAAUCAAUGAAACUGAUCUCCCCGUGAAGAAGCGGGCAUCAAAAUAUAAGACGAGAAGACCCCAUGGAGCUUUAAACUCACUAUGCACCUCUGUGCCCCUACCACAUAACACAAGUAGUCCUGCAUAUUAGUUUUAGGUUGGGGGGACCACGGAGUACAAAUUAACCUCCACAACAAACGGGCUAACACCCUUACCCACGAGACACAACUCUAAGAAUUACUAAACUAAUGCUUACGACCCGAUAUUCGAUCAAUGAACCAAGUUACCCUGGGGAUAACAGCGCAAUCUACUUCAAGAGCCCAUAUCGACAAGUAGGUUUACGACCUCGAUGUUGGAUCAGGGUAUCCUGGUGGUGCAGCCGCUACCGAUGGUUCGUUUGUUCAACGAUUAAAAC
rnacentral:rRNA from 1 species